GUGAAGCGGUAACAGCUCAAAUUUGAAAUCUGGGUCUUUCAGGCUCCGAGUUGUAAUUUGUAGAAGAUGCUUUGGGUGCGGCCCCGGUCUAAGUUCCUUGGAACAGGACGUCAUAGAGGGUGAGAAUCCCGUAUGUGAUCGGUGGCUUGCGCCCGUGUAAAGCUCUUUCGACGAGUCGGGUUGUUUGGGAAUGCAGCUCUAAAUGGGUGGUAAAUUUCAUCUAAAGCUAAAUAUUGGCCAGAGACCGAUAGCGCACAAGUAGAGUGAUCGAAAGAUGAAAAGGACUUUGGAAAGAGAGUUAAACAGUACGUGAAAUUGUUGAAAGGGAAGCGCUUGCAACCAGACUUGCGCGGGGUUGAUCAUCCGGGGUUCUCCCCGGUGCACUCGGCCUCGCUCAGGCCAGCAUCGGUUUCGGUGGUUGGAUAAAGGCCUUGGGAAUGUGACUUCUUUCGGGGAGUGUUAUAGCCCUCGGUGCAAUGCAGCCUACCGGGACCGAGGACCGCGCUUCGGCUAGGAUGCUGGCGUAAUGGUUGUAAGCGACCCGUCUUGAAACACGGACCAAGGAGUCUAACAUCUAUGCGAGUGUUUGGGUGUCAAACCCAUACGCGUAAUGAAAGUGAACGGAGGUGAGAACCCUUAAGGGUGCAUCAUCGACCGAUCCUGAUGUCUUCGGAUGGAUUUGAGUAAGAGCAUAGCUGUUGGGACCCGAAAGAUGGUGAACUAUGCCUGAAUAGGGUGAAGCCAGAGGAAACUCUGGUGGAGGCUCGCAGCGGUUCUGACGUGCAAAUCGAUCGUCAAAUUUGGGCAUAGGGGCGAAAGACUA
rnacentral:rRNA from 1 species